UCGAUGGGCUGAAGGAUGGAGAUGGGCACAGGGAUUGAUAUUGGCACAGUGAUGAUUCUUCAGAGAGCACUGAGGUCACGCAGCUGAGUUUUCCUCCUUGUCUUCAAGACACAGGAACUUGCAUUCAGCUACAAAACCGAGCGGGCUGCAAAUCUCAUCAUAUCAUAUGACUCCGAGCAGUAGCCUUAAAAUCAAUGAGACAAAGAGGUGCAGAAUCCCAUUUAAAUGAGGAGAGGAGAGGAUCCUUCGCUUUUCCCAAAGCCUUGGUUGGAUAAAAGUCUGGAGAGGCUCGGGACACAAAUGUUGUUACUUGUAUUGAGACCUUGCUUCCCAAGAUACAGCUGCCCAUCAGAGUGAAAACACCACAGCAAGUAAGAACAUCUCAUCUCCUUGCUCAAUGAAAACCAACCUUGACCAAGGAAAUGACAGCUGGAAUACCAAAAAGAUGCUGGUACAGGCUGCCCAGAGAAGUUUUGGAUGCCUCAUCCCUGGAGGUGUUCAAAGCCAGGUUGGAUGGGGCCCUGGACAGCCUGCUCUGGUGUGUGAUUUAGCAGUUGGCAACUCUACUCAUGGCAGAGAGGUUGAAACUAUAUGAUCUGUGAGGUCCCUUCCAAUCCAAGCCAUUCUACGACUCUGCCAGGGCAUCUCCCAUGACAUUCCCAUGCUACAUGAGCAUAACACGUGGACUGAACACAUCUAAACCCACAGCAGUGAUGAGCAACAUCAACAAAAGGAAGACUUAGCAGCAUGGACCAGUUAAGUGUUUUGGACUGCCAGAUUUAAAAAUGCAUAAGAUAACUGCAUGGUGUUGAAUUAGAUUGAGGUAUUUAUUAUUAUUGUUAUUAUUUUCUGUUUCUUGGUGAUCCUGCUCUAUUUUACCCUAUGGAUAAUGAGAACCCAUUCAUUUUCUUCUUGACUUUGGGUUCUUACCACCUACCAUCUCCUGAAAAAGGCUCUCCAUAUUCCUUGAAGACAAUGUGGUUUUUUUUUUCCCUCUGUUUGAAAUAGCAAAUAAACUCUUU
rnacentral:lncRNA from 7 species